rnacentral:sRNA from 1 species
UAGAGAGAAAAGAGAGGACGGCGAAGAAAAUUAGGG